AUACGGAGGGGACUAGCGUUGUUCGGAAUUACUGGGCGUAAAGCGUACGUAGGCGGAUCAGAAAGUAUGGGGUGAAAUCCCAGGGCUCAACCCUGGAACUGCCUCAUAAACUCCUGGUCUUGAGUUCGAGAGAGGUGAGUGGAAUUCCGAGUGUAGAGGUGAAAUUCGUAGAUAUUCGGAGGAACACCAGUGGCGAAGGCGGCUCACUGGCUCGAUACUGACGCUGAGGUACGAAAGUGUGGGGAGCAAACAGGAUUAGAAACCCGGGUAGUCC
rnacentral:rRNA from 1 species